AUUAGCUUAGAAGCAUGCUAUAGUCAGUUCUAUUUAAAUUAAUUAUGAGUUGAGUUGCCUUUGUGGCUGCCUAUGAAGGGCUCUCCAAAUCUAUUAUUUAUGAGCUCCUCUUUCGGUUAGCAUGCUGCCUUAGAAGGUAGCUACCUAUGUAGGCAGUAUUCUAGCUUUUUGGAUCAGUUGAACUGUAUGGUUUAUAGUGCCAUUGUAUUUCUAUAGCACUCAAAUGUCACAUGAUUAUUAAAAAAACGACCCAACCAGAGCUCCACAAAUAGGAGUUGAAUUCAUGUCUCAGCGUUGACACUGACCUUUUGGGAAAUAUAUGACACAUUUUCUCUUGAGGCUUCUUUGUGUUAGUACAGACAAGUUUAGAAGUCAAACUCAGACAUGAAAAUCAAUAAAAUAACCUCUGGGACAAAGUUUCCUUUUUGUUCAAACAUUGCUAUUGAAAACCCAUAAUAGAUACUCACUGAGCCAUUUGUGAAGGUACAUGCUAAUUAGCUGAGAGAUAGAACAGACAAAACAAACCUAAAUGAUCUUAAAAACUACAGUAAAGUCAAAUGUUAGGAUACAACUUUUAUGAUGUAACAAAAAAAUAAUAAAUGUGAUGUUUAUCAAGAUAUUUCUGCUGUAGAGCUCACAAAUCAAUCUAAGACAGUGCUGAAUCUAGCUUGACUGACAGAUAAGAGCUCUGCGUUUCAGUUCAGCAUUUCGAUCGCUUGUUUGUCUGUGAUUCCCACUGUUCUGAAUCGGUGCCGGAGGCUCUUCGUAGGCAGAGGUUUGCGUGUUAUCUAAUUCCAUGCUGUUAUGGUUCACUUUGCUGAUGCUGUUGCAACAUCUCUGAUGCAACAGAAAUUAUGCACAGUUGAAU